ACCCGCUGAACUUAAGCAUAUCAAUAAGCGGAGGAAAAGAAACCAACAGGGAUUGCCCUAGUAACGGCGAGUGAAGCGGCAAGAGCUCAAAUUUGAAAUCUGGCCCCCUCGGGGUCCGAGUUGUAAUUUGUAGAGGGUGCUUUGGCGUUGGCUGUGGUCUAAGUUCCUUGGAACAGGACGUCGCAGAGGGUGAGAAUCCCGUAUGUGGCCGCCAGCCUCCGCCGUGUAAAGCCCCUUCGACGAGUCGAGUUGUUUGGGAAUGCAGCUCUAAAUGGGAGGUAAAUUUCUUCUAAAGCUAAAUAUUGGCCAGAGACCGAUAGCGCACAAGUAGAGUGAUCGAAAGAUGAAAAGCACUUUGGAAAGAGAGUCAAAAAGCACGUGAAAUUGUUGAAAGGGAAGCGCUUGCAGCCAGACUUGCCCGCAGUUGCUCAUCCAGGCCUCGCGCCUGGUGCACUCUUCUGCGGGCAGGCCAGCAUCAGUCCGGGCGGUUGGAUAAAGGCCUGCUAAAUGUACCUCUCCUCGGGGAGGACUUAUAGGGCAGGCGACAUGCAACCAGCCCGGAUUGAGGUCCGCGCAUCUGCUAGGAUGCUGGCGUAAUGGCUGU
rnacentral:rRNA from 1 species